rnacentral:rRNA from 1 species
CGUUGCUUUCUUUGCUGGCGACCGGCGCACGGGUGAGUAACACGUAUCCAACCUGCCCUUUACUCGGGAUAGCCUUUCGAAAGAAAGAUUAAUACCCGAUGGGAUAAUUAUUCCGCAUGGUUUGAUUAUUAAAGGAUUCCGGUAAAGGAUGGGGAUGCGUUCCAUUAGGUUGUUGGUGAGGUAACGGCUCACCAAGCCUUCGAUGGAUAGGGGUUCUGAGAGGAAGGUCCCCCACAUUGGAACUGAGACACGGUCCAA